AUUGAACGCUGGCGGCAGGCCUAACACAUGCAAGUCGAACGAGUGGCGGACGGGUGAGUAAUGUCUGGGAAACUGCCUGAUGGAGGGGGUUAACUACUGGAAACGGUAGCUAAUACCGCAUACCAUCGGAUGUGCCCAGAUUGGAUUAGCUAGUAGGUGGGGUAAAGGCUCACCUAGGCGACGAUCCCUAGCUGGUCUGAGAGGAUGACCAGCCACACUGGAACUGUGACACGGUCCCGAUUCCUACGGGAGUGAGCAGUGGGGAAUAGUGGACAAUGGGCGCAAGCCUGAUGCAGCCAUGCCGCUUGUAUGAAGAAGGCCUUCGGGUUGUAAAGUACUUUCAGCGGGGAGGCGUUACCCGCAGAAGAAGCACCGGCUAACUCCGUGCCAGCAGCCGCGGUAAUAC
rnacentral:rRNA from 1 species